ensembl:snRNA U6 U6 spliceosomal RNA
GUGCUUGCUUCGGCAGCACAUACACUAAAACUGAAGCAUGCAAAAGAUGAGCAAGGCCCCUGCGCAAGGAUUAAAAAAAAAACAGUGGCUCAUGCCUGUAAUCC